rnacentral:rRNA from 1 species
GGAAUAUUGCACAAUGGACGCAAGUCUGAUGCAGCGACGCCGCGUGGGUGAAGAAGGUUUUCGGAUCGUAAAGCCCUUUUCUGUGUGACGAGAGUGGACGGUAGCACAGGAAUAAGUCUCGGCUAACUACGUGCCAGCAGCCGCGGUAAAACGUAGGAGGCAAGCGUUAUCCGGAGUUACUGGGCGUAAAGCGCGUGCAGGCGGAUAAGUAAGUUACUUAUGAAAGCUCCUGGCUAAACUGGGAGAGGUUGAGUAAAACUGCUAAUCUAGAGUGGAUGAGAGGUGAAUGGAAUUCCUUGUGUAGUGGUGAAAUGCGUAGAUAUGAGGAAGAACAUCGGUGGCGAAGGCGAUUCACUGGCAUCCAACUGACGCUCAGACGCGAAAGCAUGGGUAGCGAA